GAGGAGAGCGUUCCUGCCGAUGCUCACGUAGGCCCACAGCUGCAGAGAGGCACAGUUGCCACUCGCGUCUUUGUGUCGCACCAACACCCCUGAUUCUGUUCUGCCGGUCCCUCCCUCCUCCAGACAGCCCUCUCAGUUUUGUCACGCUGCUAGUCACACUCCCUGCCUCGCGCCUCUGAAAUCCAACGCACAUAAAGGGGCGUUUGACGAUAAAUGGCUGCACUGACGGGGAUGCAGACAGGACUUUGCAUACAGGUCAGACUGGUCUCAAAGGAGGCCACAUGCCUAGAAUCCCUGAGCUGCAGCAAAAGUUUAUAUUAAAGGUCAGAAAGUUGUGCCUCUGCUGGAAAACUUUUACAUUUUAUUUUAGGGAAAAAACUGCAUUUAAAACUGCGGUUAACAGUCUUUGCACCUGGUCCUUGUGACAUCAUCGCCCCAUCUGAUGCAGCCAUUCUGCUCGGCUGCCUGCUGACUAGUGACAUCACCCUCCUCCUCCUCCUCCUCACACGCUGAUGCGGUGCCAGAAAGCUCAUAUGAUCCACCUGCAGGAACAAGAAAAGCAUAUACUGGAAAUGAGGAAAGCACUGGGAGGAUGAAACCGGACAAAAAAUGCAAGACAGAAUUCAACAAUGGGUUCAUUUGAGCUGCAAUUUAAUGCAGUAAUUGUCCUGUUUACUAAUUAUUAUACAGUUCAGGUCUUUAUCAUCGGAUUUUAUUAAAUGCAAAUUUUGGAAAGCUAACGAAGCCAAUGGAUUGUUGGCUUA